rnacentral:lncRNA from 1 species
UCUAAGCAUCUUGCUAUCGAAAUGUCUAGGUGUCAAAGUGUUGAGGAGUUAGUCUUAACAAGCAUUUUUACUUAGGCCCAAUGUUAUAGUGUUAGAAGAAUUAUGUAUCUUGGGUUUUCUUUGAGCAAGCAAACCCAGAUCUAUAAAUAUGGAGUAACCCAUAUCAUUGCAACAUAACACAUACUUACAGUUGCAACAAAUACAAUUCUCAGUUUGAGAGCAGAGAGAAACUUUGCAGAAAC